rnacentral:rRNA from 1 species
CAGCCGCCGCGGUAAUACGUAGGUGGCAAGCGUUGUCCGGAAUUAUUGGGCGUAAAGGGCUCGCAGGCGGUUUCUUAAGUCUGAUGUGAAAGCCCCCGGCUCAACCGGGGAGGGUCAUUGGAAACUGGGAAACUUGAGUGCAGAAGAGGAGAGUGGAAUUCCACGUGUAGCGGUGAAAUGCGUAGAGAUGUGGAGGAACACCAGUGGCGAAGGCGACUCUCUGGUCUGUAACUGACGCUGAGGAGCGAAAGCGUGGGGAGCGAACAGGAUUAGAUACCCCUGUAGUCCCUGUCUCUUAUAC